rnacentral:rRNA from 1 species
AAUCUUUCGCAAUGGGCGAAAGCCUGACGCAGCCAUGCCGCGUGAAUGAUGAAGGUCUUAGGAUUGUAAAAUUCUCUCACCGGGGACGAUAAUGACGGUACCCGGUGAAGAAGCGCCGGCUAACUUCGUGCCAGCAGCCGCGGUAAUACGAAGGGGGCUAGCGUUGCUCGGAAUUACCGGGCGUAAAGGGCGCGUAGGCGGAUCGUUAAGUCAGGGGUGAAAUCCCGGGGCUCACCCUCGGAACUGCCCUUGAUACUGGCGAUCUUGAGUAUGAGAGAGGUAUGUGGAGCUCCGAGUGUAGAGGUGAAAUUCGUAGAUAUUCGGAAGAACACCAGUGGCGAAGGCGACAUACUGGCUCAUUACUGACGCUGAGGCGCGAAAGCGUGGGGAGCAAACA